GCCCGCGUCUGAUUAGAUAGUUGGUGGGGUAAUGGCCUACCAAGUCUGCGAUCAGUAGCUGGUUUGAGAGGAUGAUCAGCAACACUGGGACUGAGACACGGCCCAGACUCCUACGGGAGGCAGCAGUGGGGAAUCUUAGACAAUGGGCGCAAGCCUGAUCUAGCGAUGCCGCGUGAGUGACGAAGGCCUUAGGGUCGUAAAGCUCUUUCGCCAGGGAUGAUAAUGACAGUACCUGGUAAAGAAACCCCGGCUAACUCCAUGCCAGCAGCCGCGGUAAUACGGAGGGGGUUAGCGUUGUUCGGAAUUACUGGGCGUAAAGCGCACGUAGGCGGAUUAGACAGUUGGGGGUGAAAUCCCAGGGCUCAACCCUGGAACUGCCUCCAAAACUACUAGUCUAGAGUUCGAGAGAGGUGAGUGGAAUUCCGAGUGUAGAGGUGAAA
rnacentral:rRNA from 1 species